CCCCCAUAGGCCCGCCUGACGUGCCCGUGCUGCAACGCGCGCAAGAAGGACGCGGUGCUGACCAAAUGCUUCCACGUCUUCUGCUUCGAGUGCGUCAAGAGCCGCUACGACACCCGCCAGAGGAAGUGCCCCAAAUGCAACGCCGCCUUCGGGGCCCACGACUUCCACCGCGUCUACAUCAGCUGAGCCCCGCGACCCGAACCGCCCCAGAACCCCCCCUUAACCCCCCCAUAACCCCCCCAUAACCACCCCAUAACCCCCCAUAACCCCCCCUUAAGUGACCCACGAGUUGGGGUGGGGGGACGAAGGGGGACCCAUAACCCCCCCAUAACCCCCCCAUAACCCCUCCAUAACCCCCCCCCUGUGAAGCGACCCACGAGUCGGGGUGGGGGUACGAAGGGGGACCCAUAACCCCCACAUAUCCCCCCCAUAACCCCAUAACCCCCCCCCUUAAGUGACCCACGAGUUGGGGGGGAGGAUGAAGGGGGACCCAUAACCCCCCCACAACCCCCCCAUAACCCCAUAACCCCCCCCUUAAGCGACCCACGAGUUGGGGUGGGGGGACGAAGGGGGACCCAUAACCCCCCCAUAACCCCCCCAUAACCCCCCCAUAAACCCAUAACCCCCCCCCCUUAAGCGACCCACGAGUCAGGAUGGGGGGAUGAAGAGGGACCCAUAACCCCCCCAUAACCCUUCCAUGAAGCGACCCACGAGUUGGGGUGGGGGGACGAAGGGGGACCCAUAACCCCCCCAUAACCCCAUAACCCCCCCAUAACCCCCCCUUAAGCGACCCACGAGUUGGGGGAGGGGGGACGAAGGGGGACCCAUAACCCCCCCCCCGUGAAGCGACCCAUAACCCCCCCCCUUAAGCGACCCACGAGUUGGGAUGGGGGGACGAAGGGGGACCCAUAACCCCCCCAUAACCCCCACACACACCCCAUAACCCCCCCAUAACCCCCCUUAAGCGACCCACGAGUUGGGGUGGGGGGACGAAGGGGGACCCAUAACCCCCCCAUAACCCCAUAACCCCCCCACACACCCCAUAACCCCCCCAUAACCCCUCCCCCCUUAAGCGACCCACGAGUUGGGAUGGGGGGACGAAGGGGGACCCAUAACCCCCCCCAUAACCCCCCCUUAAGCGACCCACGAGUCGGGGUGGGGGGAUGAAGGGGGACCCAUAACCCCCCCACAACCCCCCCAUAACCCCAUAACCCCCCCAUGAAGCGACCCACGAGUUGGGGUGGGGGGACGAAGGGGGACCCAUAACCCCCCCAUAACCCCCCCCCUUAAGUGACCCACGAGUUGGGGUGGGGGGACGAAGGGGGACCCAUAACCCCCCCAUAACCCCAUAACCCCCCCACACACCCCAUAACCCCCCCAUAACCCCCCCUUAAGUGACCCACAAGUUGGGAUGGGGGGACGAAGGGGGACCCAUAACCCCCCCAUAACCCCCCCCAUUAAGCGACCCACGAGUUGGGAUGGGGGGAUGAAGGGGGACCCAUAACCCCCCCAUAACCCCCCCAUAACCCCAUAACCCCCCCCUUAAGCGACCCAGGAGUUGGGGUGGGGGGAUGAAGGGGGACCCAUAACCCCCCCGUAACCCUCCCCCAUUACACGACCCACAAGUUGGGAUGGGGGGACGAAGGGGGACCCAUAACCCCCCAUAACCCCAUAACCCCCCCCAUGAAGCGACCCACAAGUUGGGAUGGGGGGAUGAUGGGGGGGUGGGAGAUGAUGGGGGGUGGGGGAUUGGGGGGGGGGAUUGGUUGGGUUGAGGCAAUGGGGGAAGGCCAUAGGGAUCCCUGCUUGUCCCCAUAGCUGCCCCAUAGCUGCCCCAUGGGUGCCCCAUGGCCAACGUUGGGUCAACCCAAUGGGGGAAGGCCAUCAGUCCCAUUGUUUAUCUGUUAAGGAGAGCCCAUAGCAGCCCCUGGUUGUCUUUGAGGUGUCCCCAUAGCACCCAUAGCUGCCCCAUGGCCCUCGUUGGGUCUUGGGUUGGGUUGAGGCAAUGGGGGAAGGCCAUCAGUCCUAUUGUUUGUGUGUUGAUGGAACCCCAUAGUGAUCCCUGGUUGUCCCCAUAGCUGCCCCAUAGCUGCCCUAUAGCAUCUCUCUGUGCCCCAUAGGUGUCCCACAGCUGCCCCAUGGCCAACGUUGGGUUGAGUCAAUGGGGGAAGGCCAUCAAUCCUAUUGUUUGUGUGUUGAUGAAACCCCAUAGCAACCCCUGGUUGUCCCCAUAGCUGCCCCAUAGCAUCUCUCUGUGCCCCAUAGCAUCCCUGUGUGCCCCACAGCUGCCCCAUGGCCAAUGUUGGGUCGAGUCAAUGGGGGAAGGCCAUCAGUCCUAUUGUUUGUGUGUUGAUGAAACCCCCAUAGCGACCCCUGGUUGUCCCCAUAGCACCCAUGGGUGCCCCCUAGUGCCCCUGUGUGCCCCAUAGCACCCCUGUGUGCCCCACAGGAGCCCCCCCCCCCCCCACCCCCCCCCCAAUAAAGUGCUUUAAUCCGUUUCCAUGGGAUCUGUGUGUGGCUCUAUGGGGGGGGGGGAGGGGGGUGAGACCAUAGAGAGGUGGGGGAAGAGGUGCC
rnacentral:lncRNA from 1 species